ACAUAGUAGACAACAAGCUUAAAGCAAACUUCAGUUUGCCAAGUCAAGAAAAUAGAUUAAAUUUAAAACACUCUUGAAUUCGUAAUUUGAACUUUGUGUGCAAUUUAAAAAAAAAAUUCUGAAAUAAUCAAUAAUAGUAGCUGAGCAAUUUAAAAAAAUAAGUGAAAAUUUCUAAUAAUUUCCGAAAAAAUAAAGAUCAAAACUCUACACAUAUUUAUGAUAGAAUCGAUGCGAGUAGUGGGGGAUAAAAUAAAGACUAAAAUGCAUUAUUUAAGCUUUUUAUAUGUUAAAAAUAUUCCAUAGAUUUUAUUCAACCAAAUUUAUAAAACAUUAGAAAAUGUAUGCAUUGAUUAAUUAAUUCUUUUGCUAUAAAUCUGAAUGUGUAACAAAAUCUCUCACUCACUGUCAUAAAAUGUAAAUGAGGGUGAACUUUAAAAAAAUGAAAGGAAAGAGCAUGAUUUCUAAAAUAGUUUAUAUUUUAAAUUUUCGUGAUUUUGGAAUAUAUGUUUCUUUAUAUCUAUAUAUUAUCCAUUUGAAAUCUUGCUGAAACCAGUCAUUAUCAAAUUUUUAUUUCUCUAAUGAGAAUAGAAAAAUCAUGAGCAUUUCCUUCCUCUCCAAUACGCAAUAAAAGCAUAUUUUGAAUAUAAUUCUGCAGAAAAGAAAAAUCUUUCUAAAUUUUUUGCAGAAAAGAAAAAAAAAUUUUUUUACUUUCCAAAAGAAAAAUAUUUCUACCUACAAGAACUCUGUGACAACAUCUCUGUGUCGCGUGAUUCUGCCAAGGGGUCUAUUACUGUGAUACUUUUGUAUUUAAACUUAUGUCUAUAGUGAUAUAAUUUAUUAUCAUCAAUUUAUUACUUGUGUACAAUCCUUAUUAGCAUUUAAUUAUGUUUAGGUGGGAACAAGACUUCAACUAUUGUGAUCAAAUUAGGAAAAUUAACAUUUAUAAAAAGGGAAACUGGCUUUUAGAUUUGAUUGGUGCUGCUGUUUCUGAUUAUUUGAUUGGAAAUGCAGACAGGCAUGACUAUGAAGUCUUUGCUGAUUUUCCAGACAGUAAUACCUACACUUAAUACAAAGGACACUAAUACAAAGUUUUGGGAAUUUAUAUUGGGAUGAAUUAACAAUUUUAGCUCCUUUGUAUCAAUUUUACAAAUUGCUUUGCACUUUGAAGAGCUGAAGCUAUGGAUGAAAAAUCUAUCAAAAAAGUAAUGUCUGUCUUUUUAAAAUUAACCAUAAGCACCAAAACAACAUAAUGAAAUAAAAAAUGCCCUUAUUACAAGUUUCAAAUUUAUCUAUGCACAGUAAAUCAAUCAAUAUAUGAUUUCAACUACAUUUUUAAUCACUUUCUCGCUAACUGCAUAUUUCCCAAUUUAAUUUUAUGUGAUUUCUAAGUGCUUCAGCAUCCAUGGUAGUUACAAGAGAAAAAAAAGCACUUAUUAAAUAUAUAUAAACAUUAAAGUA